AGGAAGGGUGCAGCUUCGCCAGAGCAGAAAAGGGUUGCCAAGGGAAAUCCUGACCCAAAUCCAACUGGAGGAGGUGGAGAGUUGUGAAGGCGGCGUGAUCUACGACCUCAUGCAACAGAUGGUGGACAAGCAAUCUGCUUGAAGAUAAACGGCUGGGGCUUUGUCAUUGUCCUUGAUUGUUUGUGCAAAGAAGACAUCUCCCAGUUUCAAGUCAUGCUAUAAAGCAGACAUGGACGCUUCAGAGCAUGUAGGUAGACUUUGUAGUACCAAACUUCUGUUUGAAGCUUUGGAAUUUUCUGUAAUCCUUUACGCUUCAGAAGAGGCUCCCCUAGUGCUGUUAACAAGAGUCCCUAGUUUCCACAACCCGCAGCCGUAGUUUCAUCAUUCUGUUGUAACAGAAUUCAACCCCUUGUGCACCAAGGAAUGCCCACAUGGAUAUUAUGUCUUGCUCAGAAUCUUUUCGACCCUUUGCA